rnacentral:tRNA from 1 species
GGUGAUUUAGCUUAGCGGCAUAAGCGCCUGCCUUGCAAGCAGGCAGUCGUGAGUUCGAUCUCUGGUACCG